rnacentral:rRNA from 1 species
UAGUCCACGCCGUAAACGAUGAGUGCUAGGUGUUAGGCCCUUUCCGGGGCUUAGUGCCGCAGCUAACGCAUUAAGCACUCCGCCUGGGGAGUACGACCGCAAGGUUGAAACUCAAAGGAAUUGACGGGGGCCCGCACAAGCGGUGGAGCAUGUGGUUUAAUUCGAAGCAACGCGAAGAACCUUACCAGGUCUUGACAUCCCAGUGACCGUCCUAGAGAUAGGAUUUCCCUUCGGGGCACUGGUGAC